GGUAACGACCAAAACAAUGACGACGUGUCGUUUCGUGUAGUUGUUGAAACAAAAAAACAAAUAAUUCCUUUUCUUUAUCAAAGACUGAAUACGUACCUAUAAUAUCAAAUAAAAUAAUAUUUAUUUAAUUUAUUAAUAUGAAACCUAUGUUUAUGAUCUUUGUGACCUGAUGGUUACGACGACAAUAAUAAUAAUCAUCGACACGAGCGCACAAAUAACUCGUAACGAAGACAGG